rnacentral:rRNA from 1 species
CAGCCGCCACGGUAAAACAGAGGUGCCAAGCGUUAGGCGGAAUCACUGGGCUUAAAGCGUGUGUAGGCGGAUGCCUAAGUACCUUGUGAAAUCCCACGGCUUAACCGUGGAACUGCUCGGUAUACUGGGUGUCUUGAGCUGUCUAGGGGCUACCGGAACAAAUGGUGGAGCGGUGAAAUGCGUAGAUAUCAUUUGGAACGCCAAUGGUGAAAACAGGUAGCUGGGGACAUGCUGACGCUGAGACACGAAAGCUAGGGGAGCAAACGGGAUUAGAUACCCCCGUAGUCCCUGUCUCUUAUAC